rnacentral:misc_RNA from 1 species
GUAGCCUGCUGCCUGGAUCCUGCCUGCCACUGGUGAGCUAAAGCAUAGGCCAUUGCUCUUUCACGCUUAGCAGCUGCCUCUUGUCUCUUUAGCAACUUUUCUUGAAUUUGCUCAACAGAUCCAACACUGUCACACCAGCCCUCUUCGAUCUCUCGUACACGAGCGUCAUGUUCUAAUUGUUGUUCAAGCUUCUGCUGUUCAGUUUGACUUUCCAGUGACAUGCGAACACGUCUUGCUCGG